rnacentral:rRNA from 1 species
AAACCAACUGGGAUUACCUUAGUAACGGCGAGUGAAGCGGUAAAAGCUCAAAUUUGAAAUCUGGUACUUUCAGUGCCCGAGUUGUAAUUUGUAGAAUUUGUCUUUGAUUAGGUCCUUGUCUAUGUUCCUUGGAACAGGACGUCAUAGAGGGUGAGAAUCCCGUUUGGCGAGGAUACCUUUUCUUUGUAAGACUUUUUCGAAGAGUCGAGUUGUUUGGGAAUGCAGCUCAAAGUGGGUGGUAAAUUCCAUCUAAAGCUAAAUAUUGGCGAGAGACCGAUAGCGAACAAGUACAGUGAUGGAAAGAUGAAAAGAACUUUGAAAAGAGAGUGAAAAAGUACGUGAAAUUGUUGAAAGGGAAGGGCAUUUGAUCAGACAUGGUGUUUUUGCAUGCACUCGCCUCUCGUGGGCUUGGGCAUCUCAAAAAUUUCACUGGGCCAACAUCAAUUCUGGCAGCAGGAUAAAUCAUUAAGAAUGUAGCUACUUCGGUAGUGUUAUAGCUUUUUGGAAUACUGUUAGCCGGGUAUUGG